rnacentral:rRNA from 1 species
GUACCAGACUCCUACGGGAGGCAGCAGUGGGGGAUAUUGCACAAUGGGGGAAACCCUGAUGCAGCGACGCCGCGUGGGCGAAGAAGUAUUUCGGUAUGUAAAGCCCUAUCAGCAGGGAAGAAGAAAUGACGGUACCUGAGUAAGAAGCACCGGCUAAAUACGUGCCAGCAGCCGCGGUAAUACGUAGGGGGCGAGCGUUAUCCGGAUUUACUGGGUGUAAAGGGGGCGUAGACGGCGGCGCAAGUCUGAAGUGAAAGCCCGUGGCUCAACCGCGGAACCGCUUUGGAAACUGCGAGGCUGGAGUGCUGGAGAGGUAAGCGGAAUUCCUGGUGUAGCGGUGAAAUGCGUAGAUAUCAGGAGGAACACCGGUGGCGAAGGCGGCUUACUGGACAGUGACUGACGUUGAGGCUCGAAAGCGUGGGGAGCGAACAGGAUUAGAUACCCUUGUA